rnacentral:rRNA from 1 species
UACGUAGGGUGCGAGCGUUAUCCGGAAUCAUUGGGCGUAAAGAGCUCGUAGGCGGUUCAACAAGUCGGCUGUGAAAGUCCGGGGCUCAACCCCGGAAUUGCAGUCGAUACUGUUGUGACUUGAGUCCGGUAGAGGAGAAUGGAAUUCCUAGUGUAGCGGUGAAAUGCGUAGAUAUUAGGAGGAACACCAGUGGCGAAGGCGGCUUUCUGGACAGUAACUGACGCUGAGGCGCGAAAGCGUGGGGAGCAAACAGGAUUAGAUACCCUGGUA